GAUGGAUCUACCCCAACAGGCGCCAAUGUUGUCGUCAAGAACUCGUAACUUGGAUGGAUCGAUCUCUGCUCUUGCAAGCGUGAGGUAUUGUCUGCUUUGAUCUCUGGCUCAUGACAUGAGAUCUCAUAAUUUUAUCCUUUGGAAGGCAUCUCAUAGGAGAGAGAAUAUUCGAUUCCUCAUAAGCUAGACUCCUGUUAAAUCACAACCGAUGUGGGGCUAAAGAUAUUGUCCUCCUACAACAUUAGACUUUGAAGUCAAGGGGAAGUAUGUGUACAC
rnacentral:lncRNA from 1 species